GGCGGGGUAGCUCAGUCGGUUAGAGCGCAGGACUCAUAAGCCUGAGGUCAGUGGUUCGAUUCCACUUCCCGCUA
rfam:SAR86 cluster bacterium BACL1 MAG-120920-bin64 contig04208_1_120920-bin64, whole genome shotgun sequence.